UACGGAGGGUGCAAGCGUUAAUCGGAAUUACUGGGCGUAAAGCGUACGUAGGCGGCUUGUUAAGCAAGAUGUGAAAUCCCCGGGCUCAACCUGGGAAUGGCAUUUUGAACUGGCAGGCUCGAGUUCUGAAGAGGGUGGUAGAAUUUCCAGUGUAGCGGUGAAAUGCGUAGAUAUUGGAAGGAACACCGGUGGCGAAGGCGGCCACCUGGUCAGAAACUGACGCUGAGGUACGAAAGCGUGGGGAGCAAACAGG
rnacentral:rRNA from 1 species